rnacentral:rRNA from 2 species
CAACUUUCAACAACGGAUCUCUUGGCUCUCGCAUCGAUGAAGAACGCAGCGAAAUGCGAUAAGUAAUGUGAAUUGCAGAAUUCAGUGAAUCAUCGAAUCUUUGAACGCACCUUGCGCCUUUUGGUAUUCCGAAAGGCAUGCCUGUUUGAGUGUC